rnacentral:rRNA from 1 species
GAUGAACGCUGGCGGCGUGCUUAACACAUGCAAGUCGAACGGAAAGGCCCAAGCUUGCUUGGGUCCUCGAGUGGCGAACGGGUGAGUAACACGUGGGUGAUCUGCCCUGCACUUCGGGAUAAGCCUGGGAAACUGGGUCUAAUACCGGAUAGGACCACAUUUUGGAUGGUGUGGUGGAAAGUUUUUCGGUGUGGGAUGAGCUCGCGGCCUAUCAGCUUGUUGGUGGGGUAAUGGCCUACCAAGGCGUCGGCGGGUAGCCGGCCUGAGAGGGUGUACGGCCACAUUGGGACUGAGAUACGGCCCAGACUCCGACGGGAGGCAGCAGUGGGGAAUAUUGCACAAUGGGCGCAAGCCUGAUGCAGCGACGCCGCGUGGGGGAUGACGGCCUUCGGGUUGUAAACUCCUGUCGCUAGGGACGAAGCGUUUUUGUGACGGUACCUGGAGAAGAAGCACCGGCUAACUACGUG